UGUACCCCAGAGUGAGGAAUAACUGCCCGAAAGGGUGGCUAAUACCGCAUACGGUCUUCGGAUUAAAGCCUUCGGGCGCUUUGGGAACAGCUUGCGUACGAUUAGAUAGUUGGUGAGGUAAAGGCUCACCAAGUCAACGAUCGUUAACUGGUCUGAGAGGAUGAUCAGUCAGACUGGAACUGAGAUACGGUCCAGACUCCUACGGGAGGCAGCAGUGAGGAAUCUUCCACAAUGGGGGCAACCCUGAUGGAGCAACGCCGCGUGCAGGAUGAAGGCCUUCGGGUCGUAAACUGCUUUUAUAGGUGAAUAAUAUGAAUGUAGCUUAUGAAUAAGCACCGGCUAACUACGUGCCAGCAGCCGCGGUCAUACGUAGGGUGCAAGCAUUAUCCGGAGUGACUGGGCGUAAAGAGUUGCGUAGGUGGUUUGUCAAGUGAAUAGUGAAAUCUGGUGGCUCAACCACACAGACUAUUAUUCAAACUGGCAAACUCGAGAAUAGCAGAGGUAACUGGAAUUUCUAGUGUAGGAGUGAAAUCCGUAAAUAUUAGAAGGAACACCAAUGGCGUAGGCAGGUUACUG
rnacentral:rRNA from 1 species